UUUGGAGAAACCCCAAGUUGAGAAAAAUGCUAGGGAGGUUGAGAUGAAGUUGCUGCUAAAAUUUGGUGACCAUCGGAGAAGUUGGCCGCGCGGGUGAACAGUGGCUUAAAUUCUGUUUUUGGCUAAUUGAAUCACAUAAUUCAGGACGUGAGGAGGAACCACACGGGGAAACUUCGAAUAAACGGCAAGUUUAGCCGUAUACUGUGAGUGAACCUUUAUUUUAAAAUGUGAUGCAUGCAUUAUCAAUGCUCUUUUAUUUUCAUAUUACUUUUCGAGCUUAUGAUUUGAUCUUGGA